AGGCAGCCGCGAUUAACACUGAACCACUUCAUGCUUAUAGUGAAUUACUUCAAAAUCUGUUUUCGUAAGUUGUCCCAUAGAGAGUUGAUUUGUAAAAGGGAAAAUAACAGCAAUGUAUCAGAUUGCAGUUUAUCAGUAUCACUGCAAACGUUAUACCUAGUUUUCCCUCCUCUUACUCCCUUUCCCUUCUUUCGUAUCGCUUCAUUUAAAAACGCUCGAAAUAAACCGCCCAGCGUACUUAGUGGGCGCAGCUUCGUGCCGUCAGGAAUGCGUAUUUCCUUUAGCAACGAUACUUGGUGUCAGAAGCGCCGAAACCUCGCCGUAAUGGAUACUGUCAGGCAUCCCGAGCCGCAGCGUUGUCGGGGAAUAUACGCAGAAACUGGCGGAGUUUCAGGCAAAAACUGGAGCUUUCCCUUGCUGCGACGCCCGCUGAAGCACUGAAGGCAGAAGCCACGAAGACAGCAAUCCUCAGCACCGCUGGUGAAGAUGCCCUCGACCCCAUCUAUAACAACUUCUCCUUCACAAAAGAUGAUGGCCGCUCUCCAGGCGAACUGCUGCAAGGCCGGCACCUUCGCACUGCCCUGCCCAGGUACGACGAGGAUCCCAGUAGCAAAGCAUCACCAGUCUGCGAAGGUGCUGCCGCCGCUCAAAGAGGGAAGUUCGGUUCGAAAUGGAGACUGGUCACGCGCAGCGACAGUAAGCAAGAAAGUAGCUCCAAGGUCGUGCAUGGUGAAGACCGAGAACUAGCGGAUGCUGAGGUGAAACAGCCAACGAUGACCUCAGCCCUCAGGGACAACCACAUGGAGCCAGACACAGCGUGAUGGAUCCCACGACUGUAAUGCAUGGUUCAAACCAUGCAGAUGCAAACUCGUCUGGUCUACGAAAGUCAGCCAGGCAACGUCGAUGGUUGCAUUAUGAUAGCAACUUUCACGAAGUUUCCUAGAUUUUUUUUAUCAGGCAGAGAAGAUGUAUAAGACUGCGGUUUAUCAGUAUCACUGUAAGCGUCAUACCUAGUCUUCUCUUACUCCCUUUCCCUUCCUUCGUAUCGGUUCCCUUAAAAACGCUGGAAAUAAACCGGCCAGCGUUCUUAGUGGGCGCAGCCUCUUGCCGUCAGGACUGCAUAGUUCCUUUAGCAACAAUGCAAGCGCUACUUUUCUUUAAUGCGUUUUUCUUCCCCCGCCUGGGACCCUAGCGUCAGUGCGUCUGUGUGGCGUCAAGGAAUUCCAAGUAUUUUCUCAUGCUUGGGCCAUUAUGAGGCUAGUUCUGGAAACUUGCUAAGUCGCGUUUUUUUCUAGAAUGCAUUGUGGCUCAUCUUUACAAUAAACGAACUAUUGCAACUACGUCAUCAAAGUGACGUCAAG